rnacentral:lncRNA from 1 species
UCAAAGAAAAUUGUUCUCUAAAAACAAAUUCUCUUUUCAGUUUUGGUUUCCACAGAACCAAAAUCUCAACUCAAAGAAUAGGGAGGUCUUCAAGUGGUGGUUCUCCAAAACUGGCGUUUUGUAGAUACAAAGUUGUCAACAAGAGUGAGUACUUCUUUUCUCUUCUUUUUUUUUUUAUGUAACAUGUUUAGCCAUAAAAAAAUUGUUUAUGUACUUUUGUCAGUGCAGGGUAUUUAUAAGAUCCCAAUUAAUUUGAGCUAUGGUUCUGUUAGUUAUUUCGCUAGCUCCUAUCCCUUCAAAUAACAAUAUACCAACAUGCUUCUUUUCACCCAUACUCAUUUUAAAGUUACAUUUUCUUCUCCAUUUCGCAACCCCUUCGCAUAUCUUGAAUUACAUAUAUGGAGGUGAGUUUUUAAAGAACUCCUAACGCAGCAAGAUCUAUGUCAGGAGUUCUCCAAUAACUCCCAAUGCCACCACCAAAAGCAUAAGAAGUUCUCCUAUAACUCCCAUCACUUUGUUGGCGGGAGAUCCCCUAUAUUUUUCGACGCAUGCCAUGAAGCGUCGGGAAAUCGAGUAUUUUCUAACGCUUAGGUGAUUGUGUCGGGAGAUACCAUAUCUCUCUCGACGUCGACAGUGUAAACCGACGUUAGAAGAUUCAUAAUUUAUUUCUUGCAGUGAUGUUACGUUAAUAAAUUAAACAUAGGAUUUUAAAUGUUUUUAUAGUGAGAGUUAUAGACUUAGAUUACCAUGAUAAUCUUGUAAAUAUGAUUGAUAUGUUGUAUUGAAAAAGCAACCAAGUGUGAUGUAUAAUAUACAAAAAAGAAAAAAAAAUGAAUUUUAUGUUUGUUUCAAGUUCCAAGUUUCAAAUAAGUUUUUUUCCCUCUCAAGUAUUCUAUUUAGUGAUUAUUUAGUUGGAGUGUCCAUCACACACUUUCAACAAUCUUUUCUAUGAUUUUUUAUAUCUAUUUAGUUCUUUUAGAGUAUGAUAUGCUCAACAAUACAUGGGUGUAAUGAUCUCUUACACAUAUUAGAUUGAAAGCAAUCGAGGACAACCCAGAAAAGGGCCAAAUGAUCAAACCUACUAGAGACCUGCCCCAUCAUCCAACACAGUUGAUAUCGGAGCACCAAGAUAGGAUAAUAGAUGUGAAUUUUUUUUUUUUUCAUAUUUAUAAUAUAAAAUGAUGAAAAGGAGAAUAGAGAUGACGAAGCGAAAAUAAUAAUAUGUAGAUUCAAAAUUCUGAAAUACGAGUUUAUUUAAUCCCACUAAAUCCUUGUAAGCGAUCUUUGUGGGUCAGGUUGGAAAAACUUUUUUAUGUAAUUAAUGAAAUUAAAAGAGGAAAGAAAAGAAGAAGAAAAAGUUGAAAAGACAAUGAAGGAAAAAAAAAGCAUCGGAUGCAACGUGUAC